CGGUGGAUGAUGUGGUUAAUUCGAGUGACAACGCGAAAACCUUACCCACCUUUGACAUGUACGGAAUCCUUUAGAGAUAGAGGAGUGCUCGAAAGAGAGCCGUAACACAGGUGCUGCAUGGCUGUCGUCAGCUCGUGUCGUGAGAUGUUGGGUUAAGUCCCGCAACGAGCGCAACCCUUGUCAUUAGUUGCUACAUUCAGUUGGGCACUCUAAUGAGACUGCCGGUGACAAACCGGAGGAAGGUGGGGAUGACGUCAAGUCCUCAUGGCCCUUAUAGGUGGGGCUACACACGUCAUACAAUGGAUGGUACAAAGGGUCGCCAACCCGCGAGGGGGAGCCAAUCCCAUAAAGCCAUUCGUAGUCCGGAUCGCAGUCUGCAACUCGACUGCGUGAAGUCGGAAUCGCUAGUAAUCGUGGAUCAGAAUGUCACGGUGAAUACGUUCCCGGGUCUU
rnacentral:rRNA from 1 species